AGGAUGCGGAGGAGCCACCGUGGUCCGGCCUUCUCCCCGCCCGCGCCGCCGUCGCCGCCAACCAUCCUCCCCAUCCCGCCUCAACCAUCCUCACCGUCUCGCCGCCGUCGCCGAGAUCGACGCCCAAGGCAGCGGCGGGCAAGAAGCAAUAGAAGACCACCAAGGCGCCGACGGAGAAGAAGGCAAAGGCGGAGGAGAAGCCGGUGGCGAAGGACGAGGUGUGCGUGGAGUAGCCCGGAGCGAGGAGGAGGACGAGAUGGCUACCUCCGGGGAGCAGCAGAAGGAGUUGGGGCACGCGGCGGCGGUGGCGGCGGCCAAGAGGCGCAUAGCGCAGGCGACCAAGAAGGCCAGGAACGUGGCCGCCGGCGACAAGGAGCCCGAGUUCCUCGGCCAGCCCCCAUCCCUGCCGACGAGGCCCGCGCCAAGUGGCUGCAGCGCUACCUGUGUGGCUCGCCCAAGAGGUGCAAGCCACUGUUCAGCAAAUCCAGGGUAUCUUUGACCAUUGCUUAGCUGUUCAUGAUAAGCUAGAGACAUCAUUGCACGAUUUGUCUAGGACCGGAGACGCUAAAUCUUGCAAAGCAGCUCGUAAAGCUGUUGAUGCACAGUUUAAGGAAUUAGCGAAAGAGCUGAAGCUGCUAUUGUUAUCUGUAUAGUCAUCCCCUCAGUCUUAUCAGAUAUGGCCAAAGCUAGAGGGCUUGGUUGCGAAGGAGAGGGAGAUGUAGGAGAAGCUCAUGGCAAGGCAUGCCACCGUGGUUGACAGCUUUGAGAAGAAGCAGCGUGGGCAACAAUCCUGACUAUAUGCUUGAAUAUAAAAUCUACAGUGUCUC